rnacentral:rRNA from 1 species
CAAGUCGAACGAUUAAGACUUCCUUCGGGAAGUGCAUAAAGUGGCGCACGGGUGAGUAACACGUAAGUAAUCUACCUUCGAGUGGGGAAUAACAUCGGGAAACCGAUGCUAAUACCGCAUAAUGCAGCGGCAUCGAAAGAUGACAGUUGUUAAAGGAGCAAUUCGCUUGAAGAGGAGCUUGCGGCAGAUUAGCUAGUUGGUAAGGUAAUGGCUUACCAAGGCUUCGAUCUGUAUCCGGUCUAAGAGGACGGUCGGACACACUGACACUGAAUAACGGGUCAGACUCCUACGGGAGGCAGCAGUCGGGAAUUUUGGGCAAUGGGCGAAAGCCUGACCCAGCAACGCCGCGUGAAGGAUGAAGUAUUUCGGUAUGUAAACUUCGAAAGAAUGGGAAGAACUCAAUGACGGUACCAUUUAUAAGCUCCGGCUAACUACGUGCCAGCAGCCGCGGUAAUACGUAGGGAGCAAGCGUUGUUCGGAUUUACUGGGCGUAAAGGGCGCGUAGGCGGCAAAUUAAGUCAGCUGUGAAAUCUCCGAGCUUAACUCGGAACUGUCAGCUGAUACUGAUCUGCUAGAGUGCGGAAGGGGCAAUCGGAAUUCUUGGUGUAGCGGUGAAAUGCGUAGAUAUCAAGAGGAACACCUGAGGUGAAGACGGGUUGCUGGGCCGACACUGACGCUGAGUGCGCGAAAGCCAGGGGAGCAAACGGGAUUAGAUACCCCGGUAGUCCUGGCCUUAAACGAUGAAUACUUGGUGUCUGGAGUCUCUAUAGCUCCGGGUGCCGUCGCUAACGUUUUUAGUAUUCCGCCUGGGGAGUACGCACGCAAGUGUGAAC